rnacentral:lncRNA from 10 species
ACGCCUCACCAGAACAGCACGUAGCAGGCCCCUGUGGAGGAUUAACACAGUGGCUGAACACCGGGAAGGAACUGGCACUUGGAGUCCGGACAUCUGAAACUUGAAUUGACAAGCCGACAUCAGUCUCCAGAGUGAAUCCAAGGAGUGGACCCAAGACAUUUGUGUUCUGUGAUGUGGUGGCAUGUUACCUGUCAUCUCCGAUGCAUAACUCCUAAAGUGCGUCUGGGGCAGUUGUACAGAUUGCAGAGGAUAAUACUCAAGAUGUUCUCCAAGGCCAACUAGUCAUCAGUUUAUUCAUGUUUCUGGGAUUGGAUUCAUGAACUCAUCCUUUGAACUAUUUCAACAAGCUUUUUCAUGUAACUAAUCUGCGGAAGGUAGAAAGGGGAAAACUGUUGGGUGCUAAAAUGACAACUGGUUCAAGAGCUCCCAAGAUGGUGGUGGGCCACUUCCAAGAUGGUGGCAAGAGUCGUAUUCUCUGACCUGGGGUUCUUGGUCUCAUGGAUUCCAAGGAAUGGAAUCUUGCGCCAUGUGUCCAAAGAAGAAGGAAGAAGAAAGGGGAUAUAAUGAGAAUGAGAAGCGUCAGAUAAUUAGGCAGCAGUCCAACAAUUAGGUUUUGUGGAACUUUUACUAUGUCAUCUAUUUAUUGGAAUUCCCCCUGGAUACCAGGACCCCCUCCAGCAGAGCUUAAAGUUAUAGUUACAGGAAGUACAAAUUCCUUAUGUGGAUCCCUGGAAGUGUGAUGAGAAGAACCACUGUUUCCAAGAUCUAUUUAUUCUAUUUAUCAGGCCUAUAAAAUCAUGUAAUGGCCAUGGCUUCAACUAGACUCC